rnacentral:lncRNA from 1 species
GGCAUGUGGGAUGCUGCCUCAGCAUGGCCUAAUGAGCGGUGCCAUGUCCGCGCCCAGGAUCCGAACCGGCGAAACCCUGGGCCGCCAAAGCAGAGUGCGCGAACUUCAUCACUCGGCCACAGGGGCAGCCCCUUUAGUGAUUACUCUUAAAUUUUAAACUGGUUUUACAAGUGUCAGCUUUAAUUCUUGCAAAUUAAGUUGGGACUCGUGCUAUAUCUUUAGCUCCACGAGGGAGGCAGGAUUCUCGUUGCACUCGCUUCCAGGUGAAGAAGCUGAGGCUUAGAACGGCAAGGUCAGGUGCCCAGGUUUACACAGUGGAGAUUCUUGAGAAAGUCCAAGCAUUUUCACCAAAGGCUGUUAU